ACGGUUCAGUCAGACUAAUCUCGUGUGGAACAAAAGGGUAAAAGCUCGUUUGAUUCUGAUUUCUAGUACGAAUACGAACCAUGAAAGUGU
rnacentral:ncRNA from 3 species